CACGUAGUUAGCCGGGGCUUCUUCUGGAGGUACCGUCACCCUCUGGGCUAUUCACCCGAGUGGCUUCUUCCCUCCUGAAAGCGGUUUACAACCCUAAGGCCUUCUUCCCGCAGGCGGCGUCCCUGCGUCAGGCUUUCGCCCAUUGCGCAAGAUUCCCCA
rnacentral:rRNA from 1 species